rnacentral:rRNA from 1 species
UACAGAGGGGGCCAGCGUUAUUCGGAAUUAUUGGGCGUAAAGAGCUCGUAGGCGGUUCAGUAAGUCGGGUGUGAAAACUUUGGGCUUAACCCAAAGCGUGCAUCCGAUACUGCUGUGACUUGAGUACGGUAGGGGAGCGGGAAAUUCCUAGUGUAGCGGUGAAAUGCGCAGAUAUUAGGAGGAACACCGGUGGCGAAGGCGCCGCUCUGGGCCGAAACUGACGCUGAGGAGCGAAAGCAUGGGUAGCAAACAGG